GUACUCGCUUCGGCAGUACAUAUUCUAGAAUUGAAAUAAUACAGGGAGAGUAAGCAUGGCCUCUGCACAAGGAUUAGGCAUAAAUUCAUGAAGCGUUCCAUGUUUUC
rfam:Octopus bimaculoides Scaffold69108_contig_9, whole genome shotgun sequence.